rnacentral:rRNA from 1 species
AUUGAACGCUGGCGGCAGGCCUAACACAUGCAAGUCGAGCGGAUGAAGGGAGCUUGCUCCUGGAUUCAGCGGCGGACGGGUGAGUAAUGCCUAGGAAUCUGCCUGGUAGUGGGGGAUAACGUCCGGAAACGGGCGCUAAUACCGCAUACGUCCUGAGGGAGAAAGUGGGGGAUCUUCGGACCUCACGCUAUCAGAUGGGCCUAGGUCGGAUUAGCUAGUUGGUGGGGUAAAGGCCUACCAAGGCGACGAUCCGUAACUGGUCUGAGAGGAUGAUCAGUCACACUGGAACUGAGACACGGUCCAGACUCCUACGGGAGGCAGCAGUGGGGAAUAUUGGACAAUGGGCGAAAGCCUGAUCCAGCCAUGCCGCGUGUGUGAAGAAGGUCUUCGGAUUGUAAAGCACUUUAAGUUGGGGGGAAGGGCAGUAAGUUAAUACCUUGCUGUUUUGACGUUACCAACAGAAUAAGCACCGGCUAACUUCGUG